CUUUGAUGCCAACACUUUAGCGAGCUGCGCCAUAAAUACAUUGGGUAUCUGACACUCUGUCGGUGCUGGUCUUCAAUAAAGCACUUUGAGCAUAUUUAGGUCACUGGGUGUGUGCCAGUAGGUGAAUGCCUCCCUUCCAUGCACGUCUUUCACGUCAUCUUGGGUAACUAGGGAUGUGCCACUGGGAGUGUGCCGCACCACAAU
rnacentral:lncRNA from 1 species